rnacentral:tRNA from 1 species
GGCAUCGUAGCUCAGUUGGUAGGGCACUCGCGGUGCUGCGGCGAGGGCGGUGACCGUGCAUGGGUUCGAAUCCCGCCGAGGCCA